GGAACAUAUUUACAUAUUACACCACAUUUAACUAUUUAAAAAUAGUUAAAUGUGGUGUAAUAUGUAAAUAUGUUCCUC